rnacentral:rRNA from 1 species
GCAUAUCAAUAAGCGGAGGAAAAAGAAACUAACAAGGAUUCCCCCUAGUAACUGCGAGUGAAGCGGGAAAAAGCUCAAAUUUAAAAUCUGGCGGUCCUUGCGGCUGUCCGAGUUGUAAUCUGGAGAAGUGCUUUCUGUGCUGGACCGUGUACAAGUCUCUUGGAACAGAGCGUCGUAGAGGGUGAGAAUCCCGUCUUUGACACGGACUACCAGUGCUUUGUGAUGCGCUCUCAAAGAGUCGAGUUGUUUGGGAAUGCAGCUCAAAAUGGGUGGUAAAUUCCAUCUAAAGCUAAAUAUUGGCGAGAGACCGAUAGCGAACAAGUACCGUGAGGGAAAGAUGAAAAGAACUUUGGAAAGAGAGUUAAACAGUACGUGAAAUUGCUGAAAGGGAAACACUUGAAGUCAGUCGCGUUGGCCGGAACUCAGCCUUGCUUUUUUGCUUGGUGCACUUUCUGGUCGACGGGUCAGCAUCAGUUUUGAUCGUCGGAUAAUGGCUGGGGGAAUGUGGCAUCUUCGGAUGUGUUAUAGCCCUUGGUCGCAUACGAUGGUUGGGACUGAGGAUCUCAGCACACCUUUAUGGUCGGGGUUCGCCCACGUUUGUGCUUAGGAUGCUGGCAUAAUGGCUUUAAAUGACCCGUCUUGAAACACGGACCAAGGAGUCUAACAUGCAUGCGAGUGUUUGGGUGGAAAACCCGAGCGCGUAAUGAAAGUGAAAGUUGAGACCUCUGUCGUGGAGGGCAUCGACGCCCGGACCAGACCUUCUGUGACGGCUCUGCGGUAGAGCAUGUAUGUUGGGACCCGAAAGAUGGUGAACUAUGCCUGAAUAGGGUGAAGCCAGAGGAAACUCUGGUGGAGGCUCGUAGCGAUUCUGACGUGCAAAUCGAUCGUCAAAUUUGGGUAUAGGGGGCGAAAGACUAAUCGAAACCAUCUAGUAGCUGGGUUCCUGCCGA